CCCCUCCGGAAUCACGUCUGGAGAGUGGCUUGUAUUCUGGCAGCUUCGGAAAUGGGAGGGCAAGCAAGCCUGGCAAAGGCACCCAUUCCAUUCCCAGCUUGCUCAGCAGCUGGCAAUUGGGAGACACUCUGCAACUGUG
ensembl:snoRNA